CCUACGGGUGGCAGCAGUGGGGAAUAUUGGACAAUGGGCGAAAGCCUGAUCCAGCCAUGCCGCGUGUGUGAAGAAGGCCUUCGGGUUGUAAAGCACUUUCAGUGGGGAAGAAAGCCUUGGGGCUAAUACCCUCGAGGAAGGACAUCACCCACAGAAGAAGCACCGGCUAACUCCGUGCCAGCGCCGCGGUAAUACGGAGGGUGCGAGCGUUAAUCGGAAUUACUGGGCGUAAAGCGCGCGUAGGCGGUCUGAUAAGCCGGUUGUGAAAGCCCCGGGCUCAACCUGGGAACGGCAUCCGGAACUGUCAGGCUAGAGGGCAGGAGAGGAAGGUAGAAUUCCCGGUGUAGCGGUGAAAUGCGUAGAGAUCGGGAGGAAUACCAGUGGCGAAGGCGGCCUUCUGGACUGACACUGACGCUGAGGUGCGAAAGCGUGGGUAGCAAACAGGAUUAGAUACCCCUGAGUC
rnacentral:rRNA from 1 species